UGGGGAAUUUUGGACAAUGGGCGAAAGCCUGAUCCAGCAAUGCCGCGUGUGUGAAGAAGGCCUUCGGGUUGUAAAGCACUUUUGUCCGGAAAGAAAUCCUUGGCUCUAAUACAGUCGGGGGAUGACGGUACCGGAAGAAUAAGCACCGGCUAACUACGUGCCAGCAGCCGCGGUAAUACGUAGGGUGCAAGCGUUAAUCGGAAUUACUGGGCGUAAAGCGUGCGCAGGCGGUUUGCUAAGACCGAUGUGAAAUCCCCGGGCUCAACCUGGGAACUGCAUUGGUGACUGGCAGGCUAGAGUAUGGCAGAGGGGGGUAGAAUUCCACGUGUAGCAGUGAAAUGCGUAGAGAUGUGGAGGAAUACCGAUGGCGAAGGCAGCCCCCUGGGCCAAUACUGACGCCCAUGCACGAAAGCGUGGGGAGCAAACAGGAUUAGAUACCCUGGUAGUCCACGCCCUAAACGAUGUCAACUAGUUGUUGGGGAUUCAUUUCCUUAGUAACGUAGCUAACGCGUGAAGUUGACCGCCUGGGGAGUACGGUCGCAAGAUUAAAA
rnacentral:rRNA from 1 species